GACGAACGCUGGCGGCGUGCCUAACACAUGUAAGUCGAACGAAACCUUCGUGUCUUGUUGCGCACGGCGGCGUAAGGCGUGGGAACCUGCCCUUAGGUUCGGAAUAACUCCCCGAGGGGGGUGCUAAUACAGGAUGAUGUCUUCGGACCAAAGAUUUAUCGCGUUUGGAUGGGCGCGGGUUGGAUUCGCUAGUUGGUAGUGUAAAAGCAGACCAAGGCGACGAUCCAUAGCUGGUCUGAGAGGAUGAUCAGCCACACUGGGACUGCGACACGGACCAGACUGCGACGGGAGGGAGCAGUGUGGAAUAUUGUAGAAGGGGGGAAAGCCUGACCCAGCAAUGCGGGGUGAGAGAUGAAGGGGGUAGGGUUGUAAAGUUCCUUGAGACGAGAUGAGAAUGACAGUACCGGGAGAAGAAGCUCCGGCUAACUCCGUG
rnacentral:rRNA from 1 species